CAUAUCUAGUUCUACAUACCUGGUCAGGUCAUGCUAGGAUGUUUAUCUUAACUAAUUUAGUUUUUUUUCCUUUUUUAUGUCGUCUCUUUUUAUGACCAGCAAAAUCAUACCAGUCUUAUGUUGUCUUCCUGUGUCCAUGCAAGGCGGAUGCCACCCCUUUCCACCUCGUCAUCAUUGCCAUGCAUCUCCAUGAUUUGACUCUUGAUCAUCCCCGCCACCACUUUGGAGCUACAUCAAUUUGAACUAUGGAUGAUCGAGGGUGUUUGGUGCUUCUUUGGAUCCUUGGUGAAGAAGAUGGCGUCUUGUGACUAUGUGGAAUAGAGGCAUCAAUGUUUGGUGCUUGCGGACAUGAUUCUGGCAUCUCAUUUGCUGAGUGAGAACUCAAUAAAUCCAUGAAUGUAGUGUAUGUGUAUGAUUCCAUGUAUUGUGUGCAAAGGAGAGAAAGGAGAGAGAGAGCAGUAGUGCAGACGUGUGGCGGUGUUGCUUCUUUGUUUCCUGGACGAGCCUAGAGUUUAAUUGUUUUGUUAUGCUUGAUGCCGUCGUCUUGGCCGCUGCU
rnacentral:lncRNA from 1 species